rfam:Candidatus Entotheonella sp. TSY2 genomic scaffold TSY2_scaffold00909, whole genome shotgun sequence.
GGGGCCGUGGUGUACCGGAGCACACGGGACUUUUAAUCCCGCCGGAGUGGGUUCGAUUCCCACCGGCCUCU